ensembl:lncRNA
UUAAAAGAAAGAAAGAAGGAUGAAACAAGGAGGCAGAAACAGGUCAAGGAACUUUUCGGUGUGUCAGGAGAUGAAACAGCCUGGGGCCAACAGACACGACUCUCUGACCCUCGGUUUCUUCUUCAGCUGGAGGGAAAUUCACUCCUGUGGAGCCUGGGCUGGGCCAUCGCUGUGACAGCACUGUCACCUGGAUCCUCAUCGGAUCCUCACUGCACCUCUGAGAGCAGAGCCGCCUUCACACCAGCUGCACACAGCCUCCUGUUGGCUUGUUCCUGGGGCUUAAACCUAACUGAGCAGUGUUGUUCUAAGUUGCAGAGAUCAAAGACCUGGACAGCAACCUUUACCCCAUUGGCCAGAGCAACAUCAGCAAGUCAGGCAGAGGGUGUGUGCGGUUUAUUGAAGAGAUGCACAGCUGGUGGCUGCAUCUGCAGAGCUGAGAACAACUGGAUCUUGUUCACACUCAGGCAGAGGAAGACUCCUGGGGUGAAGCCACACCUCCUUCUAGCCUGACACGGACAAGGAGCUGAAAGGAGAUCUCUGAGAUCCUGCUAUUGCCAUGAACCCAAAAGACCUCCGGGACUGCUCAGGUAGUCAGCUGUUGCUUGUUUGGGUGGUUCCUACUUAUGACCCAGAACUGAGAUGCUGCCAACUAUCCGAAUUAACCUAGAGAAGAAUCAAGAAUCAGAAGGGAAUAGAUAAGCAUCCUCGUGUCCAUGGAGGCCAAGGGGACUUCCCCCACCCUGGGGUCUGUCCCAUAGCCUCCUUUCUGGCCCUCUUCUCUGGGAGCCAUGGCCAAGGUGCUUGGUUUCUCCCUCCUGGUCCCUCAGAUCCCAGCUCAUGACUCAGAAGUGAGGCCAGAACAGCCCACAGCCAGAGAGGACAGCAGAUGGAGUCCCCAAGACCAGACAGGGCAGGGAGUGGAGGUCCCGCAGCAUCCCUGAAGCUUCUCCUGCCCUCUCUCUUGGUCCGAGACUCCUCGUGCUCCCAAACCCUGGGGCAUCACCACAGAGGCUGUUUCCUCCAACUCUUGCCCUGUCGCCUGCCCAGCUGCUCUGCAAGGAUCAGCGGACCCUGAACUGAACCCCAGUCUGGCCUUUGUCGCCUCCCCUUUGUGUGACCUGGAGCACAGUUAUCUGACCUCACCUGUAAAAUGAGAAGAAUAUUUCCCUAUAUUGUUAUGAGGAUGAAAUGUAAUGUGCUCUGUGGCCUGGGCCACACAGUAGGUCCUGCUGAGUAUGGAACUGUCCCCUCUACCUAGACUGUGUUAGAUGCAGGUGGAAAACUCCCCCCUCGCCCUCCAUGCUGUGUCACCACACCCGCCCAGGGAUCUCAUAUAUAAGCAUGUGCUUACCAGGUCUGUGAAGAAAGCUGGGCACUGAAGAAUUGAUGCUUUUGAAGUAUGGUGUUGGAGAAGACUCUUGAGAGUCCCUUGGACUGCAAGGAGAUCCAACCAGUCCAUCCUAAAGGAGAUCAGUCCUGGGUGUUCAUUGGAAGGACUGAUGUUAAAGCUGAAACUCCAAUACUUUGGCCACCUCACACGAAGAGCUGACUCAUUGGAAAAGAACCUGAUGCUGGGAGGGAUUGGGAGCAGGAGGAGAAGGGGAUGACAGAGGAUGAGAUGGCUGGAUGGCAUCACCGAGUCAAUGGACAUGAGUUUGAGUGAACUCCAGGAGUUGGUUUUCGACAGGGAGGCCUGGCGGGCUGUGAUUCAUGGGGUCGCAAAGAGUCAGACAUGACUGAGCAACUGACCUGAAUUCAACUGAACUGAACCAGGUCUGAUACCUCAGGCAGGUACUGGCUCUACUGAUCUCAAACACCUCUGCAGAUAACCAAGUUCUCUGUCAUUUCCCACACCCACCCACACCCCAAUCAAUAAACAAACAGAUUUAGUGCUCUGGGAUCCCUCC